rnacentral:lncRNA from 1 species
AUUUUAUAAAUGUUGUUCUUCCUCUAACUAGUGAAAAUGACUGUGCCAUUUUUCUGAUUAACAGCUUUGCACGUUUUUUUAUUAAAGAUUAUAUCAUAACCGUUAUCACUUAAUUGACUUAUGGAUAAUAGGUUAUGCAUUAAUACUUCAACAUAAAGGACAUCAAAAAUAGAGGGAAGAUAUCCAUUACCAACUAUUCCAGAUCCUCUGUUUCUUCCUUUCUGAUUUCCUCUAAAACCUAUGAAGCCAACGUCUUUAAAUUCCAGGCUUUGGAACAUAUGCUUU